rnacentral:rRNA from 2 species
GGGAGCGAAGCAAUUGGAAGUGGUUCCAAGAAAAGCCUCUAAGCUUCAGUCUAACGAUGACCGUACCGCAAACCGACACAGGUGGGCGAGAUGAGUAUUCUAAGGCGCUUGAGAGAACUCGGGAGAAGGAACUCGGCAAAUUGGUACCGUAACUUCGGGAUAAGGUACGCCCUUGUAGCUUGACUGGCCUGCGCCAGGAGGGUGAAGGGGUUGCAAUAAACUGGUGGCUGCGACUGUUUAAUAAAAACACAGCACUCUGCAAACACGAAAGUGGACGUAUAGGGUGUGACGCCUGCCCGGUGCCGGAAGAUUAAAUGAUGGGGUGCAAGCUCUUGAUUGAAGUCCCGGUAAACGGCGGCCGUAACUAUAACGGUCCUAAGGUAGCGAAAUUCCUUGUCGGGUAAGUUCCGACCUGCACGAAUGGCGUAACGAUGGCCACACUGUCUCCUCCCGAGACUCAGCGAAGUUGAAGUGUUUGUGAUGAUGCAAUCUACCCGCGGCUAGACGGAAAGACCCCAUGAACCUUUACUGUAGCUUUGCAUUGGACUUUGAACCGAUCUGUGUAGGAUAGGUGGGAGGCUAUGAAACCGGAACGCUAGUUUCGGUGGAGCCGUCCUUGAAAUACCACCCUGGUUUGUUUGAGGUUCUAACCUUGGCCCGUGAUCCGGGUCGGGGACAGUGCAUGGUAGGCAGUUUGACUGGGGCGGUCUCCUCCCAAAGCGUAACGGAGGAGUACGAAGGUACGCUAGGUACGGUCGGAAAUCGUGCUGAUAGUGCAAUGGCAUAAGCGUGCUUAACUGCGAGACCGACAAGUCGAGCAGGUGCGAAAGCAGGUCAUAGUGAUCCGGUGGUUCUGUAUGGAAGGGCCAUCGCUCAACGGAUAAAAGGUACUCUGGGGAUAACAGGCUGAUACCGCCCAAGAGUUCAUAUCGACGGCGGUGUUUGGCACCUCGAUGUCGGCUCAUCUCAUCCUGGGGCUGUAGCCGGUCCCAAGGGUAUGGCUGUUCGCCAUUUAAAGAGGUACGUGAGCUGGGUUUAAAACGUCGUGAGACAGUUUGGUCCCUAUCUGCCGUGGGCGUUGGAUAUUUGAAGGGGGCUGCUCCUAGUACGAGAGGACCGGAGUGGACGAACCUCUGGUGUACCGGUUGUCACGCCAGUGGCAUCGCCGGGUAGCUAUGUUCGGAAGAGAUAACCGCUGAAAGCAUCUAAGCGGGAAACUCGCCUUAAGAUGAGAUAUCCCUGG